GACGAACGCUGGCGGCGUGCCUAAUACAUGCAAGUCGAACGAGUGGCGGACGGGUGAGUAAUGUCUGGGAAACUGCCCGAUGGAGGGGGAUAACUACUGGAAACGGUAGCUAAUACCGCAUACCAUCGGAUGUGCCCAGAUGUGAUUAGCUAGUAGGUGGGGUAACGGCUCACCUAGGCGACGAUCGCUAGCUGGUCUGAGAGGAUGACCAGCCACACUGGAGCUGAGACAGGGUCCGGAAUCGUACGGGAGGCAGCAGUGGGGAAUAUUGCACAAUGGGGGCAAGCCUGACGCAGCCAUGCCGAGUGUAUGAAGAAGGCCUUCGGGUUGUAAAGUACGUUCAGCGAGGAGGCGUUACUCGCAGAAGAAGCACCGGCUAACUCCGUGCCAGCAGACGCGGUAAUAC
rnacentral:rRNA from 1 species